rnacentral:rRNA from 1 species
AAUAUUGAACUGAAGAGUUUGAUCCUGGCUCAGAUUGAACGCUGGCGGCAUGCCUAACACAUGCAAGUCGAACGGAAACGAUGGAAGCUUGCUUCCAGGCGUCGAGUGGCGGACGGGUGAGUAAUACUUAGGUAUCUGCCCAGUAGUGGGGGACAACUCGAGGAAACUCGAGCUAAUACCGCAUACGCCCUACGGGGGAAAGCGGAGGAUCUUUCGGGACUUCGCGCUAUUGGAUGAGCCUAAGCCGGAUUAGCUUGUUGGUGGGGUAAAGGCCUACCAAGGCGACGAUCCGUAGCUGGUCUGAGAGGACGAUCAGCCACACUGGGACUGAGACACGGCCCAGACUCCUACGGGAGGCAGCAGUGGGGAAUAUUGGACAAUGGGCGCAAGCCUGAUCCAGCAAUGCCGCGU